rnacentral:rRNA from 1 species
UACGGAGGGUGCAAGCGUUAUCCGGAAUCACUGGGUUUAAAGGGUGCGUAGGCGGUUUGAUAAGUCAGUUGUGAAAUUCCCUCGCUCAACGAGUGGGACUGCGAUUGAUACUGUUGAACUUGAAUCAGGUUGAGGUAGGCGGAAUGUGGCAUGUAGCGGUGAAAUGCAUAGAUAUGCCAUAGAACACCAAUUGCGAAGGCAGCUUGCUGGGCUUUGAUUGACGCUGAGGCACGAAAGCGUGGGGAGCAAACAGGAUUAGAUACCCUGGUAGUCCACGCCCUAAACGAUGUUUACUUGCUGUUCCUGUCAUGAAUGGGAGUGGCGAAGCGAAAGCGAUAAGUAAACCACCUGGGGAGUACGCCGGCAACGGUGAA